AGUGAACGCUGGCGGUAGGCCUAACACAUGCAAGUCGAACGGCAGCACAGUAAGAGCUUGCUCUUACGGGUGGCGAGUGGCGGACGGGUGAGGAGUACAUCGGAAUCUACUUUUUCGUGGGGGAUAACGUAGGGAAACUUACGCUAAUACCGCAUACGACCUACGGGUGAAAGCAGGGGAUCUUCGGACCUUGCGCGAUUGAAUGAGCCGAUGUCGGAUUAGCUAGUUGGCGGGGUAAAGGCCCACCAAGGCGACGAUCCGUAGCUGGUCUGAGAGGAUGAACAGCCAAACUGGAACUGAGACACGGUCCAGACUCCUACGGGAGGCAGCAGUGGGGAAUAUUGGACAAUGGGCGCAAGCCUGAUCCAGCCAUACCGCGUGGGUGAAGAAGGCCUUCGGGUUGUAAAGCCCUUUUGUUGGGAAAGAAAAGCAGCAGGUUAAUACCCCGCUGUUCUGACGGUACCCAAAGAAUAAGCACCGGCUAACUUCGUG
rnacentral:rRNA from 1 species